rnacentral:rRNA from 1 species
UACGUAGGGCGCGAGCGUUGUCCGGAAUUAUUGGGCGUAAAGAGCUCGUAGGCGGCCUGUCGCGUCCAUUGUGAAAGCCCGGGGCUUAACCCCGGGUCUGCAGUCGAUACGGGCAGGCUAGAGUAUGGUAGGGGAGAUCGGAAUUCCUGGUGUAGCGGUGAAAUGCGCAGAUAUCAGGAGGAACACCGGUGGCGAAGGCGGAUCUCUGGGCCAUUACUGACGCUGAGGAGCGAAAGCGUGGGGAGCGAACAGG